GACGAACGCUGGCGGCGUGCUUAACACAUGCAAGUCGAACGAUGAACUUGGAGCUUGCUCUGGGGGAUUAGUGGCGAACGGGUGAGUAACACGUGAGUAACCUGCCCUGGACUCUGGGAUAACUUCGAGAAAUCGGAGCUAAUACCGGAUAGGACCUUGCACCGCAUGGUGUGGGGUGGAAAGUUUUUCGGUUUGGGAUGGACUCGCGGCCUAUCAGCUUGUUGGUGAGGUAAUGGCUCACCAAGGCGUCGACGGGUAGCCGGCCUGAGAGGGUGACCGGCCACACUGGGACUGAGACACGGCCCAGACUCCUACGGGAGGCAGCAGUGGGGAAUAUUGCACAAUGGGCGCAAGCCUGAUGCAGCAACGCCGCGUGCGGGAUGACGGCCUUCGGGUUGUAAACCGCUUUUAGUAGGGAAGAAGCCUUCGGGUGACGGUACCUGCAGAAAAAGGACCGGCUAACUACGUGCCAGCAGCCGCAGUAAAAC
rnacentral:rRNA from 1 species